UAGUUACAGGGAUAGCCCGAGGAAACUCGGAUUAAUACCUGAUAUUCUUUUCAUUUCGCAUGAAAUCAAAAGGAAAGGUCAGCCGAACUAAGAUGAGCUCGCGUUCUAUCAGCUAGUUGGUGAGGUAAUAGCUCACCAAGGCUACGACGGAUAGCUGGUCUGAGAGGACGAUCAGCCACACUGGGACUGAGACACGGCCCAGACUCCUACGGGAGGCUGCAGCAGGGAAUAUUGCGCAAUGAGCGAAAGCUUGACGCAGCGACACCGCGUGUGGGAUGACGGAUCUAGGUUUGUAAACCACUUUCAGGAGGGAAGAAAAUGACGGUACCUCCACAAGAAGCCCCGGCCAA
rnacentral:rRNA from 1 species